GACGAACGCUGGCGGCGUGCUUAACACAUGCCAGUCGAACGGAAAGGCCCUGCUUUUGUGGGGUGCUCGAGUGGCGAACGGGUGAGUAACACGUGAGUAACCUGCCCUUGACUUUGGGAUAACUUCAGGAAACUGGGGCUAAUACCGGAUAGGAGCUCCUGCUGCAUGGUGGGGGUUGGAAAGUUUCGGCGGUUGGGGAUGGACUCGCGGCUUAUCAGCUUGUUAGUGGGGUAGUGGCUUACCAAGGCUUUGACGGGUAGCCGGCCUGAGAGGGUGACCGGCCACAUUGGGACUGAGAUACGGCCCAGACUCCUACGGGAGGCAGCAGUGGGGAAUAUUGCACAAUGGGCGGAAGCCUGAUGCAGCAACGCCGCGUGCGGGAUGACGGCCUUCGGGUUGUAAACCGCUUUCGCCUGUGACGAAGCGUGAGUGACGGUAAUGGGUAAAGAAGCACCGACUAACUACGUG
rnacentral:rRNA from 1 species